GAAUUCGGCAAAAUCAGGGAAACCUGAUGACGCAAAACUACAGGAUCUGAAAGCUUGGAAAAAGUGAGUAUGAUAGCCAGUUGCA
rnacentral:ncRNA from 1 species